rnacentral:rRNA from 1 species
ACGCUGGCGGUAGGCUUAACACAUGCAAGUCGUGCGAGAAAGUAUCUUCGGAUAUGAGUAGAGCGGCGGACGGGUGAGUAACGCGUAGGAAUCUACCUAGUAGAAGGGGAUAGCCCGAGGAAACUCGGAUUAAUACCGUAUACCUCCUUCGGGAGAAAGAAGGCCUCUCUUUGAAGCUUUCGCUACUAGAUGAGCCUGCGUAAGAUUAGCUUGUUGGUGAGGUAAAGGCUCACCAAGGCUACGAUCUUUAGCGGGUCUGAGAGGACGAUCCGCCACAUUGGGACUGAGACACGGCCCAGACUCCUACGGGAGGCAGCAGUGGGGAAUAUUGGACAAUGGGCGAAAGCCUGAUCCAGCCAUACCGCGUGUGUGAAGAAGGCCCUAGGGUUGUAAAGCACUUUAAGUUGGGAAGAAAAGUUAUUGGUUAAUACCCAAUGACCGUGACAUUACCAUCAGAAUAAGGACCGGCUAAUUCCGUGCCAGCAGCCGCGGUAAUACGGAAGGUCCAAGCGUUAAUCGGAAUUACUGGGCGUAAAGCGCGCGUAGGUGGUUUAUUAAGUUGGGUGUGAAAUCCCCGGGCUCAACCUGGGAACUGCAUCCAAAACUGAUUCACUAGAGUACGAUAGAGGGAGGUAGAAUUCACAGUGUAGCGGUGGAAUGCGUAGAUAUUGUGAAGAAUACCAAUGGCGAAGGCAGCCUCCUGGAUCUGUACUGACACUGAGGUGCGAAAGCGUGGGUAGCGAACAGGAUUAGAUACCCUGGUAGUCCACGCCGUAAACGAUGUCAACUAUCUGUUGGAAAGCAUUGCUUUUCAGUGGAGCAGCUAACGUAAUAAGUUGACCGCCUGGG